AUUGAACGCUGGCGGCAGGCCUAACACAUGCAAGUCGAACGAGUGGCGGACGGGUGAGUAAUGUCUGGGAAACUGCCUGAUGGAGGGGGAUAACUACUGGAAACGGUAGCUAAUACCGCAUACCAUCGGAUGUGCCCAGAUGGGCUUAGCUAGUAGGUGGGGUAAAGGCUAACCUAGGCGACGAUCCCUAGCUGGUCUGAGAGGAUGACCAGCCACCCUGGAACGGAGACACGGUCCACACGCCUACGGGAGGCAGCGGUGGGGAAUAUUGCACAAUGGGCGCAAGCCUGAUGCAGCCAUGCCGCGUGUAUGAAGAAGGCCUGCGGGUUGUAAAGUACUUUCAGCGGGGAGGCGUUACCCGCAGAAGAAGCACCGGCUAACUCCGUGCCAGCAGCCGCGGUAAUUC
rnacentral:rRNA from 1 species